AUGCUCACUUUAGCAGCAUAUAUACUAAAAUUAAAAUGAUACAGAGAAGAUUAGCAUGGUCCUUGCACAAAGAUAACACUUAAAUUUAUUUAGCUUUCUAUAUUUUC
ensembl:snRNA U6 U6 spliceosomal RNA